rnacentral:rRNA from 1 species
AUGGAGUCGGCCGACGCAGCGGGUGGGGCGGCCGGGGACGGGGCGCCGCCGGGCCGCGGCUCCUCGGCCAAGCGCAUGCGCGGCGUGAUUGGCAGCGGCGGCGGCGACGGCAUGGAGGUGGUGCCGUGGGGGUCGCCGCCGCCGCCGGGCCAGCAGCCGGCGCAGCUCCAGGGGUCGGCGUCGCGGAUCUGCCGCGUGAGGGCGUCCGGGGGCAAGGACCGGCACAGCAAGGUGUACACGUCCAAGGGCAUCCGCGACCGCCGGGUGCGGCUCUCCGUGCCCACGGCCAUCCAGUUCUACGACCUGCAGGACCGCCUCGGCUUCGACCAGCCCAGCAAGGCCGUCGAGUGGCUCAUCAACGCCGCCUCCGCCGCCAUCGACGAGCUCCCCUCCCUCGACCCGGCCGCCUUCGCCAACAUGCCGGCCGACCACCAGGCCGCGCCCCGCGCCGGCAAGCAGCAGCAGCAACCGCAGGGCAGCAGGUCCCUGUGCAGCAGCACGUCGGAGACCAGCAAGGGGUCCGAGCUCUCGCUCUCGCGCUCCGACGGCCGCGUCGGCGGCGGCUCCUCCCGGGACAAGGAGGUCACCGUCGCCAGCAACCCCUCCGCGCAGGCCGGGUCCUUCACCGAGCUGCUCACCGGGGCGGGGGCGGGGGCGGCGUCGGCCGGCGCGGCCAUUGCCUCCGCGGCUCCGCGCAGGCAGUCCUGGCAGCAACAGCCCGUUUCCGCGGUCACCGCGGACCGCGUCGGCAUCGCGCACCCCGGUAAAGGCGCCGGCGCGCAGGUGGUGCCGACGUACCCCGGCUUCAGAUUCGGCAAUGCGCCCCCGUUCGGCAUGCAGCCGGCGCAGCCGUUCAACUUCGGCCCCUCCGCCCAGCACCAGAUGACGCAGUUCUCGCUCGUCCAGGGCGGGCUGGCGGCGGCUCCGGCUCCGGCUCAAGCCGGAGACUACAGCCUCGACUUCUCGAUGAACUCCGGUUACAUGGGUGCCAGCAGGGGGCCCCUUCAGUCCAAUUCGCCGCACUUCUCCAGCCACCACCAGCAGCAGCAGCAGCAGCGGCAGCUCCAGGACCUGGACGACGGUCCGAGCCCUCCCUUCCUGUACGAGAACGCCGCCGCCGCCGCCCCGCAUCUCACGGCGACCGCGGCGAUGCAGCUGUGGAACGGGUUCUCGCACGCCGGCAUGAAGGAGAAGAGCAAGAACUGA